rnacentral:rRNA from 1 species
UACGUAGGCGCAAGCGUUAUCCGGAAUUAUUGGCGUAAAGAGCUCGUAGGCGGUUUGUCGCGUCUGCCGUGAAAGUCCGGGCUCAACUCCGGAUCUGCGGUGGGUACGGGCAGACUAGAGUGAUGUAGGGGAGACUGGAAUUCCUGGUGUAGCGGUGAAAUGCGCAGAUAUCAGGAGGAACACCGAUGGCGAAGGCAGGUCUCUGGGCAUUAACUGACGCUGAGGAGCGAAAGCAUGGGGAGCGAAACAGG